AUUUUUUUUGUUCAAUGUCAGACAAUAUACGAGUGAUGCAAUGCCUAAAGGGGUAAGGUAUUUUAUAAAGCUUUAUCAAAGUAAUGUAACUAUAUUUUCAUCAAUCAACGUAUUUUUUAAAACAACUUUAUAGACGUUCCGUUAUUUGUCAAUCUUGAAUUAAGAUGCUAGCAUUAUUUGGUAUUGCUACCGCUAGUAUAAUUCAUUGUUAUUUGAAGGUUUUGCUACUUUGAGUAAUGCAGUGUAUGCCAACAAUAGUAGAUUUAUUUGUAUGAUCUUUUGCAGAAAAUAGAAGUAAAUUAGAGCAAAAGACAUUUAUUAUCUUUUCGUUGAUAUUCUUUAUGUCUUAAAUUGUUAAUUCUUGAUUAGCCAUAAUGAGUAAAGGAAAUACAACUUAACAUGGCUAAUACUGAGACUUAGUAUUUAAGAAGCACAAUCAAACAGUGAUGAAUGUGAUUUAACCGACAUAAUUCUUGUAAAUUUUAUUCGAUAUUUGAUUGAAUCCCUUACGUUCAUACUAUCAAGAAAUAAUCUUUUGUCUAUUUAGAAUACUAACGAUUUUUCCCUUACGGCAAAACCCCUGGAAUGCAAAUGUGAAAAGCUUUGGAUUUUCUAUGAUAAAACGAUUAAAGAAUUAUAGUUAGGUUCCGUUACCGUUUCUAUUCCUUUGCUCAAUCCUUAAAUAUUUUAGGAAAUUAAAAUUUUUCAGCCAAUCUUCUUUUUUUUUCUAACUAAUGCGAAACUACAAAGUCGUUAGUAUCUUUUGCAAAAUUAUUGUUUUUUAUAAUAAAAUUAAGACACUCUUCCAAAAGGUAUUGGAAUAUAAAUUGGAGAUAGGGUAGACAUUUGUUAAUAAUUAUACAAUUUAGUUGUCGCUUAGAACCAGGAAAAAACCUUCAGCUUUCACUCGACUAAGUUGAUGAGGAACACUUAAAAAUAAAAUCAGUGAUACUUUUACUUGGGUAUUUAUGAGUAACUAUAUAAGU